CUUCAGGCUCCGCACAACGUUUGUGUUGUGAACUCCGCUAGGCUGGGAACAGAGCAACGGCAGCAAUAAGAGCGUGUGUUGCGGUAAAGUCUGAAGCCU
rnacentral:SRP_RNA from 1 species